rnacentral:rRNA from 1 species
UACGAAGGGGGCUAGCGUUGUUCGGAUUUACUGGGCGUAAAGCGCACGUAGGCGGAUCGUUAAGUGAGGGGUGAAAUCCCAGGGCUCAACCCUGGAACUGCCUUUCAUACUGGCGAUCUUGAGUCCGGAAGAGGUGAGUGGAACUCCGAGUGUAGAGGUGAAAUUCGUAGAUAUUCGGAAGAACACCAGUGGCGAAGGCGGCUCACUGGUCCGGUACUGACGCUGAGGUGCGAAAGCGUGGGGAGCAAACAGG